UACGUAGGUGGCAAGCGUUGUCCGGAUUUACUGGGCGUAAAGAGCGCGCAGGCGGUCGCUCAAGUCGCGUGUGAAAGCCCCCGGCUCAACUGGGGAGGGUCACUCGAUACUGAUCGACUUGAAGGCAGGAGAGGGAAGCGGGAAUUCCCGGUGUAGUGGUGAAAUGCGUAGAUAUCGGGAGGAACACCAGUGGCGAAGGCGACUACCUGGCCUGUUUCUUGACGCUGAGGCGCGAAAGCUAGGGGAGCAAACGGG
rnacentral:rRNA from 1 species